rnacentral:rRNA from 2 species
AGGUGCGAUCAUACCAGCACUAAUGCAAUGGAUCUCAUCAGAUCUAUGCAGUUAAGCGUGCUUGGCGAGAGUAGCACUAGGAUGGGUGACCUCUUGGGAUGUCCUCGUAUUGCACCUA